UUUGGUGAAAGAACUCUAGACGGAAAGAAUGAGGCAGCGGAGAGGUAGAGGGGAGUCUCUAAUGGUGGUUGCCCUCUCUCUGUUUCCUAUGAUUUCCUUUUCCAUUUUAACCAAACGCGGCACUAAUAAACCACCAUUCAUCUUAAGUGUCUGUUUGGUCAAGCUCUGAUCUAUACACACACACAUAUACGAUAUAUAUAUAUAUAUAUACACACACACCUGUAGGGGUAAAAGGGUUUAGGAUUUAAAACCUAACCCUUUUUGCUGCUGCUUCUUCUUCUUCUUCCUCAUCAUCAAAAUUAUUAUUAUUAUUAUUACUCCCUCCGUUCCACUUUAUUGUUACUGUAUCGGAUGAGAGGCUGUGAUGAUUAAGGUGUCGUCUAGAGUUCGUGGGGGUAAUGGAGCAGCCCGUAUCUUGGCGGGGCGACCCGGAAGGCACUAUUUAUAUAGUGCAACCGAGGUUUGCAGCCAUGGCGGUUGCUUUGUCUCCUUUGCCCUGAUUUUAUCACAGAUCUGAGCCUCAAUAUACCCCCCAAAAAAGUAUUAUUUAUGUUUGAUAAUUUCAAAAUUUGCUUUAAUGAAGUUACAUUUGCUUUAAGUUUUAGUUUGCUGACUCCUUUGUUUAGAAAUUUUUGUACAGGUAGCUAUUGAAGUCAUUAUAUGGACAAAUAUACAAUGCUUAUUUUCUAUUCACUUAGAUGAUUAUUUUAUAGAAAGUUUUAUUCUUUUUAAAUAAAGUAGAUCGGAUUGUUUGAAGGAAGUUUUUCUUUUCAGCUAACUAAAAUGGUGAAUAUUGACAUUUUAAGUUUUUGAGGAAAUUGAAAACGAGAAAAGGACUGGGGAAUGUUUUUAGCUGACUAUCUAGUGUAAAAAGAAAAUAUUUGCAGUCAUGAGUGCAUAAUAAGGAAGUAAAGUUGUUGUUUUGGUAUAGACCAAUUUGUAGUAUAUUAUAUUCAUGAUUGAAUUAUCAAUAUGACUGAUUAAGAAAGAAUUUUAGUAUAAAAUAAUCUGUGAAAUCUGUCAUAUUUUUCCCCUUUAGGUACUAAGUUGAGAUAUAUAGAGUAAUGAUCCAACUUUAAAAGAGGAAUGGAGUAUUAAAGUAUUUAUCUUACCUUUAAACCCUUCCCUUUUUUUCUCAUCUUGCUCUUGUUCUCUUUUCGUUUUCUGUUGUUGAUAGGUGAUGCAGUCUUAUUUCUACUGCAUGAAUUGAAAUUGGAAUUAGUACUCAAGAAUAAUCUAUCUAAGGAAAUAAUAAAUGGGAAUGAGGUAACAUAGGGAUAGGAAAGUAUCUAGGGAUGUUGCCUCCCAUCUGAAUGCAAAUGAUUACUAAGUGUUCUGCUUUCUUGGUCAUUAUUUUUCCCUCACAAAAUCGGAAUCAUUGUGAGCAUCAUUGCUGAUGCUUAUCUGUAGGCUGUGACGAUAAAGCUUACUGAAUUGAUCGGGUUUUGUCAACUGGACCCGUAUCUUGACAAGGCAAACCAAGAUGUCUUCCAUGGCGGUGUCCUUUUCCUUUGCCCGAUUUUGUCACAAAUCUGAGCCUACUUAUGUACUCAACCAAGAAUAAUUGGUCAGAGAGAAAAGUAAGUAAAACACUAAGAAAUAAGAAUGAGGCAGCAUAGUGAUGCCAGUUUGUUUCGAUGGUUGCCUCCCAUUUCUAUGCCAAUGAUUUCUUAGCGAUCUGCUUCUGUCAAAGCUAGAACCUUUAUUUAUUGACACUGUCAUGCUUAUUGAUGCUCGGUUGUGUUCUUGUACUUCCUGCCACUGUUUUCUUAGUCAUUAUCUUUUUCCCUUUCAAAAAUCACAAACAUAUGAGCAUUAUUACCGAUGCUUUUUUGUAUGCUUUUUGAAUUUGUCGUGUUUAGGUUAACUGGAGCCGUAUCUUGGCGGGGCAAACCAGGUCUUUCAUUAGCAUAGAUUAAUGGUUAUUGAAAUAGAGCAAAAUCGAUAUUGGCAUAAAGUUGAUUCCGAUUGGUUUGAUAUUGUGGUGUAAUUGUUCUAUUAUGUUAUCAUGGUUUGCAGUGAUGAUGGCGUUCCUUUAUUUUACCUGAUUUUGUGUCGGAUCUGAGCCUACAUAUGUACUCGCCUAUCACUUUAUUGAUAAAUGGAUGGAUAGAUAGAUAGAUGAAAGUGAUGGAAAUAAUUUGUAGAUACGAAUGCAAAUAACUUAUAACAUGCAUGGAGAAAGGGGGAAGGUAAAUGGGGUAAAAACAUGGAUCUAUUUUGGAUUUGUGAUGACAUUUCUUAGGGCAACUGACUGAAGAACUGAUGUUACUUGGUGAGACAGUAAAUACUAAAUAGUAUUCUUAAUUUGGUAUUUGGUUGUGUGCUUCUUAUUUUCUCUAUUCUUGAUAUUCCCUUGCCCUCAUUUUUCUCCUUUUCUUUAUAAAGUCCUUUGCCUGUGAUUUCUCUCGUCAUAAUGGUUGCAUCUCGUGCAGUUAGUGAUUUCUAACUACGCUGGUGUUUGGGAUUCAGGGUUUCUACAAUAAUGUUAUGUUAUGCGGACUCUCCAAAAUGUUGUUGCACCCAUAUCGGAUCCUCCAAAAAUGCACUACUUUGGAGGAUCUCGUAUACAACCGGCAAUAUUUUUGGAGAGUCUGAGCAACAUAUCAAUAAUGUGCAGAGCACCGGAAAAAGGGCGGUAUUGUAAUCGUAGCAACUUAUCUUCCCUGCUGAGAUUGAGGGGUGAUGUUUUUAUGGUUGCCACCAAGAUUUCCAAGAAGGAUUACAUUGGUAAACAUGCUUGAUUGAGGGGCCUAGACUAACAUGAAAAGUUGGCAAGUUCAAAAAGGUUUCUUACAAUGAGAAAGCAGAUGGUUUGCAAGCAAUCUGAAAAACAGCAGGAGUGAAGUGAAUAUUUUCAAUUAACUUUGUCUAAAAUGAAAUGUCAAAUCAAGAUUCUACAUUAGAAUAAAUUGCUCUAGGAUUUAUGUUUGCUAGAUGUUCAUGAGCUGAAAAUUUCACCAAGUGUAAUCGUUUUCUUUCUCUUUGUUGUUUCACUGAGUCUGAUCGUUUUCGGCAAGAAUUUGUGUCUUAGAUUUGAA